UACGGAGGGUGCAAGCGUUUGUCCGGAAUCACUGGGCGUAAAGGGCGCGUAGGCGGCUCAUGAAGGCUGUGGUGAAAGUCCGGGGCUCAACCUCGGAUCGGCCGUGGCGACUCGUGGGCUGGAGCACUGUAGAGGCGGGGUGGAAUUCCGGGUGUAGCGGUGGAAUGCGUAGAGAUCCGGAAGAACACCAGUGGCGAAGGCGGCCCGCUGGGCAGUGGGCUGACGC
rnacentral:rRNA from 1 species